rnacentral:rRNA from 1 species
AUACGUAGGUGACAAGCGUUAUCCGGAUUUACUGGGCGUAAAGGGCGUGUAGGCGGUCUUGCAAGUCAGAAGUGAAAUUCCUGAGCUCAACUCGGGCGCUGCUUCUGAAACUGCAGGACUUGAGUGCUGGAGGGGAUAGCGGAAUUCCUAGUGGAGCGGUAAAAUGCGCAGAUAUUAGGAGGAACACCGGUGGCGAAGGCGGCUAUCUGGGCAGAAACGGGCGCUGAGGCGCGAAAGCGUGGGGAGCAAACAGGAUUAGAUACCCUGGUAUUCCACGCCGUAAACGAUGAAUACUAGGUGUAGGGGGUAUCGACUCCCUCUGUGCCGCAGUUAACACAAUAAGUAUUCCGCCUGGGGAGUACGGCCGCAAGGUUGAAACUCAAAUGAAUUGACGGGG